rnacentral:siRNA from 1 species
CACCGCACGUCGCGUGGUGUCC